UGUGCAGACAUUCACUGUCCCCAUGACAGAAGUGUACCUGCUGUUCUUCCAAGCCACCGUACCAACUUUCACUUCUUUCAACUUGCUGCUUCAGAGAGAGCAGUCAUCAAUAUUUUUGUUACAUGAUGAGAUGGUGAAAUUCGUACGCAAGCUAUGUUCCAAGUUUAUGGUUCCAGCAGCUCUGCAGUGCCAUGAGGAGCCUUGUGAAAUUGCCUUUGAAGAAAAGGCAAACCAUUUACCAGAUUACUCGACGAGGGUGACAUCACACCACAGCAGGUGGAU